rnacentral:tRNA from 1 species
GCCUUCGUGGUGUAGCGAUCAGCACGCUCGACGCGUAUUCGAGAGGUGAGGGGUUCAAAUCCCGGCGAGGGCA